rnacentral:rRNA from 1 species
UAGACGCAGGUCAUCAACCUGCAUCGAUUACGUCCCUGCCCUUUGUACACAUCGCCCGUCGCUUCUACCGAUUGGUCGUCCCGGUGAACAAUCGGGAGGGCGCGCACCAGGUCAGCAAUGGCCGGCGCGCGUCCGAACUUUUGUAAAUUUGGUCGACUAGAGGAAGAAGAAGUCGUAACAAGGUUUCCGUAGGUGAACCUGCGGAAGGAU